rnacentral:rRNA from 2 species
GAGUUUGAUCGUGGCUCAGAUUGAACGCUGGCGGCAGGCCUAACACAUGCAAGUCGAGCGGAUGACGGGAGCUUGCUCCUUGAUUCAGCGGCGGACGGGUGAGUAAUGCCUGGGAAUCUGCCUGGUAGUGGGGGACAACGUUUCGAAAGGAACGCUAAUACCGCAUACGUCCUACGGGAGAAAGCAGGGGACCUUCGGGCCUUGCGCUAUCAGAUGAGCCUAGGUCGGAUUAGCUAGUUGGUGGGGUAAUGGCUCACCAAGGCGACGAUCCGUAACUGGUCUGAGAGGAUGAUCAGUCACACUGGAACUGAGACACGGUCCAGACUCCUACGGGAGGCAGCAGUGGGGAAUAUUGGACAAUGGGCGAAAGCCUGAUCCAGCCAUGCCGCGUGUGUGAAGAAGGUCUUCGGAUUGUAAAGCACUUUAAGUUGGGAGGAAGGGCAGUAAGUUAAUACCUUGCUGUUUUGACGUUACCGACAGAAUAAGCACCGGCUAACUCUGUGCCAGCAGCCG